GCAACGAGCAGCAUCCGCCCUUCCGCCUCCACGCUGCUUCUUCAAAGUAAAAGCAAGACGGUUAAACGUUGACUCAAGUCAGAUGUGAGAGUUAUUUUUGGCGAGACAAAGAACACAAUGGCGGGGCAGCCUGAAAGGUUUUUCCCACUGGAAGUCUGUGGCUACAUUAGACACCAUGUGUACUUUUAGCUGCAGUUAAAGGAUCCUCUAGGCACAGGAAACAGAAGAUCUUUGAUGCUUGGAAGCACAAGAUAAAAUCCAGUUUCCUCAUGUGAUCUGUAACGAUCAGGGAUGAUGAUGAUCGGAAGGACAGAACUCUUGUCGUCACGUGUCGUGCGCGUAGGCAGAGGGGAGAUGGUGGAGAUGGUACCGCGCCCCUUAUUACAGGAACCACGCACUCACCAGUGUCUGCUGUCAUUGCUUACGACUGAAGGACUUUUGAUGACUCACAGUGUGAAUGUACUGUGGUACUUUAUGAAUAUCAAAAAUACCCUGUACAGAGAUUUAGAAAUUAAAGCUAUAGAAAAGUGAAAAUGAAAUCUAGUCACACUACUUUUGAUACUACUGUACAAAAUCUUAAUGUACUCUCUGUCCAAACAAAAAAAGCACUGAGGUAAAUGUUCUGUCAUUGAAACCUGUAAAACUUAUGCCAGUGAGGUUUUAGUGUUUGUUAAGGAAGGUAAGGAAUGUAAAACACUGUUAAGAAAGGGCUAUAUAAAUAAAGUUUACUAUAAAAUUUAA